rnacentral:lncRNA from 1 species
GCCAUAUCAUUCAUAAACUCCCCAAUAGAAAAAAGCCACAUAAGAACAAAACACGUGUUUCCAUCAAAUUCAACAACAAAGCACACACACAAAGCGGUGAAGAGAACGCACAAAAACCCCGAGAACCCAAUUCAUCAUCUUCCUCUGAAUCAAACCUUCUCACAUCAUUGUUAACCAGAUCUAAAAAUCAUCUUCAAUUUUUCAUUCUGUAAGUUGUUUCGCCACUACAGAACUUGGC